rnacentral:rRNA from 1 species
AAUGAACGCUGGCGGCAGGCCUAAUACAUGCAAGUCGAGCGUGCGGCGGACGGGUGAGUACUGUAUGGGGACUGCCCGAUAGCUGGGCAUAACUACUGGAAACGGUAGCGAAAACCGCAUACUAUCCGCUACGGCAUAUGGGAUUAGCUGGUAGGUGAGUUAAUGUCUCACCUAGGCGACGAUCCCUAGCUGGUCUGAGAGGAUGAUCAGCCACACUGGGACUGAGACACGGCCCAGACUCCUACGGAGGCAGCAGUGGGGAAUAUUGCACAAUGGGCGCAAGCCUGAUGCAGCCAUGCCGCGUGUAUGAAGAAGGCCCUAGGGUUGUAAAGUACUUUCAGUAGGGAGGCGUUACCGACAGAAGAAGCAACGGCUAACUACGUGCCAGCAGCCGCGGUAAUAC